GACGAACGCUGGCGGCGUGCUUAACACAUGCAAGUCGAACGGAAAGGCCCUGCUUGCAGGGUACUCGAGUGGCGAACGGGUGAGUAACACGUGGGUGAUCUGCCCUGCACUUCGGGAUAAGCCUGGGAAACUGGGUCUAAUACCGGAUAGGAGCCAUUUUUAGUGUGAUGGUUGGAAAGUUUUUUCGGUGUAGGAUGAGCUCGCGGCCUAUCAGCUUGUUGGUGGGGUAAUGGCCUACCAAGGCGGCGACGGGUAGCCGGCCUGAGAGGGUGGACGGCCACAUUGGGACUGAGAUACGGCCCAGACUCCGACGGGAGGCAGCAGUGGGGAAGAUUGCACAAGGGGCGCAAGCCUGAUGCAGCGACGCCGCGUGGGGGAUGACGGCCUUCGGGUUGUAAACUCCUUUCGCUAGGGACGAAGCUUUUUGUGACGGUACCUAGAUAAGAAGCACCGGCUAACUACGUG
rnacentral:rRNA from 1 species